rnacentral:rRNA from 1 species
UACGGGGGGGGGCAAGCGUUGUUCGGAAUUACUGGGCGUAAAGGGCUCGUAGGCGGCCAACUAAGUCGAGAUGUGAAAUCCCCAGGCUUAACCUGGGAACUGCAUCCGAUACUGGAUGGCUUGAAUUCGGGAGAGGGAUGCAGAAUUCCAGGUGUAGCGGUGAAAUGCGUAGAUAUCGGGAAGAACACCCGUGGCGAAGGCGGCUCUCUGGGACGGUACUGACGCUGAGACGCGAAAGCGUGGGGAGCGAACAGG